GAUGAACGCUGGCGGCGUGCCUAAUACAUGCAAGUCGAGCGAACGGACGAGAAGCUUGCUUCUCUGAUGUUAGCGGCGGACGGGUGAGUAACACGUGGAUAACCUACCUAUAAGACUGGGAUAACUUCGGGAAACCGGAGCUAAUACCGGAUAAUAUUUUGAACCGCAUGGUUCAAAAGUGAAAGACGGUCUUGCUGUCACUUAUAGAUGGAUCCGCGCUGCAUUAGCUAGUUGGUAAGGUAACGGCUUACCAAGGCAACGAUGCAUAGCCGACCUGAGAGGGUGAUCGGCCACACUGGAACUGAGACACGGUCCAGACUCCUACGGGAGGCAGCAGUAGGGAAUCUUCCGCAAUGGGCGAAAGCCUGACGGAGCAACGCCGCGUGAGUGAUGAAGGUCUUCGGAUCGUAAAACUCUGUUAUUAGGGAAGAACAUAUAUGUAAGUAACUGUGCACAUCUUGACGGUACCUAAUCAGAAAGCCACGGCUAACUACGUGCCAGCAGCCGCGGUAAUACGUAGGUGGCAAGCGUUAUCCGGAAUUAUUGGGCGUAAAGCGCGCGUAGGCGGUUUUUUAAGUCUGAUGUGAAAGCCCACGGCUCAACCGUGGAGGGUCAUUGGAAACUGGAAAACUUGAGUGCAGAAGAGGAAAGUGGAAUUCCAUGUGUAGCGGUGAAAUGCGCAGAGAUAUGGAGGAACACCAGUGGCGAAGGCGACUUUCUGGUCUGUAACUGACGCUGAUGUGCGAAAGCGUGGGGAUCAAACAGGAUUAGAUACCCUGGUAGUCCACGCCGUAAACGAUGAGUGCUAAGUGUUAGGGGGUUUCCGCCCCUUAGUGCUGCAGCUAACGCAUUAAGCACUCCGCCUGGGGAGUACGACCGCAAGGUUGAAACUCAAAGGAAUUGACGGGGACCCGCACAAGCGGUGGAGCAUGUGGUUUAAUUCGAAGCAACGCGAAGAACCUUACCAAAUCUUGACAUCCUUUGACAACUCUAGAGAUAGAGCUUUCCCCUUCGGGGGACAAAGUGACAGGUGGUGCAUGGUUGUCGUCAGCUCGUGUCGUGAGAUGUUGGGUUAAGUCCCGCAACGAGCGCAACCCUUAAGCUUAGUUGCCAUCAUUAAGUUGGGCACCCUAAGUUGACUGCCGGUGACAAACCGGAGGAAGGUGGGGAUGACGUCAAAUCAUCAUGCCCCUUAUGAUUUGGGCUACACACGUGCUACAAUGGACAAUACAAAGGGCAGCGAAACCGCGAGGUCAAGCAAAUCCCAUAAAGUUGUUCUCAGUUCGGAUUGUAGUCUGCAACUCGACUACAUGAAGCUGGAAUCGCUAGUAAUCGUAGAUCAGCAUGCUACGGUGAAUACGUUCCCGGGUCU
rnacentral:rRNA from 1 species